GGUGCUGUGGCUCAGUGGGUAGAGCUGCUGCCUUCCAUGCCAGCAUCCCCUGUGGGUGCUGGUUCGAGUCCUGGCUGCUCCA
rnacentral:tRNA from 1 species